AUCUUCCACAAUGGGCGAAAGCCUGAUGGAGCAACGCCGCGUGAGUGAAGAAGGUUUUCGGAUCGUAAAACUCUGUUGUAAGGGAAGAACAAGUACAGUAGUAACUGGCUGUACCUUGACGGUACCUUACUAGAAAGCCACUGCUAACUACGUGACAGCCGCCGGGGCAAUAUGUAGGUGGCAAGCGUUGUCCGGAUUUAUUGGGCGUAAAGCGCGCGCAGGCAGUCCUUUAAGUCUGAUGUGAAAGCCCACGGCUCAACCGUGGAGGGUCAUUGGAAACUGGGGGACUUGAGUGCGGAAGAGGAAAGUGGAAUUCCAAGUGUAGCGGUGAAAUGCGUAGAGAUUUGGAGGAACACCAGUGGCGAAGGCGACUUUCUGGUCUGUAACUGACGCUGAGGCGCGAAAGCGUGGGGAGCAAACAGG
rnacentral:rRNA from 1 species